UGCCAGGAGAAAUAUGAACCACUAUGGCUCAAAGGAGGAAAUCACUGCGAUUUAGAACUGUAUCCAGAGUAUCUUAGGCAUCUGAAGAAGUUCAUAUCAACAGUUGAGAGAUCACCUUCACGAAGAAACACUGCUAGGAGAAGUACAGAUGGAAUUGAACAGCCAAGACGGAGUACUGAUUGCUUUGAGGCUCCAAGGAAGAGUACGGAUCGGAGGGAGAAACCGAGAAAAAGCACUGAUAGACCUGAAAAACUGAAGUUUCAUGAAUACAAGUUUACGAAUAUUGAGAAGCUAGAAAAGCUAAGGAUCUCCUUUGACCAAAUGGAGAGGUCACGGAGAAGUGUGGAAUACCAUGAGAAAUCUAGAAAGAGCAUUGACCUGCAGCUAGAAAAGGCAAGGAAAAGUGUUGAUUGGCUGGAUAGGAUUCGUGCUGGAUAAGAAUGCCAAAUCCUUUGUAAAAUUUGUGCACUAGAUUGAUUUUAGAGGGGACAGGGAAAGUGGGAAAAAAGGGGAAUUAUUUGGUAUUUAACUUGUGAUUUCAGUGUGUGUGGCUUGCUCAUUGAAAUUGCAUAAUAACUGUGUAAUGGGC
rnacentral:misc_RNA from 1 species